CUAUGCUCUCUUCGGAUUUCCCUGGGCAUUCAUGGUUUGGAUCUAUAAGGCCUUUCCUCAUCUUGAAAAUUUUGCUGGAAAAUCAAUGGAUGAGCCCUUUCCCAUUCCCCGCAUCCUCAGAUGGCACACUACAAAAAGUGACCAAAUAAUCAAAGGCGACCCAUUCAAGUACAAAGAAAAAGUUACCAAGAACGUGCACCCGUACAUCAUCCCUACUCUUCGUGAGAUGAAGAUAGACUACAUGAUUACCUUUGAGCCAUAUACGGACGAGGUAAAGAAUAAUUUCCUUGAUGGUUUAAAGAAGAUUUAGAAGAGGUGACUGGCUUUAUUUCAAAUGAGGACAGUGAUGAUGACGAGGAUAUGGGUUGUAACCCCAUUGAAGUACGCAUUGGUGAUGAUGAUACUCCAAGUACCUCUAAAGAUGCAGUGGACACCUCAUCCCCCGAGGAUCUUCAUAAGUGUGUUGUUGUGCUCGAGGAAGCGGUGUUGGAUAUUGCUUCCUAUAUUAGAGAGAAAAGACUGAAGAAAAAAGAACAGGAUGAACGACAACACGAGUGAGUGCAUGUGGACCUUCGUGAAUCAGAGAGAAAUAAAGAAGGAUAAAAAAAGAGCAAAAUGGAUGAGUUGGCCUCUAUCGUGGCAGAAGAGGAAAAAGAAGAAGAAAAGAAGGAUGAUGAAGAAGAAGAAAUGGAAGAAGAUAAGAGCCAAGAAGAAAGCGUAAAAGAAAUAGCUGCAGUAGAAGAAGAAAAAGUUGAAAAAGAAGCAGCAACAGUUGAAGAAGAAGGCAAGGAAAAAUAAGGAGUUAUAGUUGAAGAAGCCAAGUAAAAAUAAGAAGCUAAAAAAAUAGGAGCAGCAGCUGAUGAAGAAGAAGAAGAAGGUGAGAAAGAAGCAGUUGUUGAAGGUGAAGGAAAAAAGGAAGGUGAGGAAGAAAAGGAAGGUGAAAAAAAAGCAGUUGUUGAAGGUGAAGGAAAAAAAAUGAGGAAGAAAAACAAGAUGGGUUCAGGGAUAUCGUUGAUAAAAUCAACAACACCUAUGCUGAUGAGGAGGAAUAUAGUGAAAAAAACAUUUGAAUUAUUUUAUUGUUAAUGUGUUGAAUGAUUUGUUUGGUAGGAUAUUUGAGACAUUCCCAUGUUUCAUAGAAUAUUUAUCUAAUAUUUCAUAUACUUCUUUCAUAGUCUAUCA